rnacentral:piRNA from 1 species
UGCUGUGGAUUAGUGUUGCUUCUUUGGUUG